rnacentral:rRNA from 1 species
GUAGGGAAUCUUCCACAAUGGACGAAAGUCUGAUGGAGCAACGCCGCGUGAGUGAAGAAGGGUUUCGGCUCGUAAAACACUGUUGUAAGAGAAGAAUGACAUUGAGAGUAACUGUUCAAUGUGUGACGGUAUCUUACCAGAAAGGAACGGCUAAAUACGUGCAG